rnacentral:rRNA from 1 species
GGGAGGUAGUGACAAUAAAUAACAAUACGGGGUUCUUUUGGAUCUCGUAAUUGGAAUGAGUACAAUUUAAAUCUCUUAACGAGAACCAAUUGGAGGGCAAGUCUGGUGCCAGCAGCCGCGGUAAUUCCAGCUCCAAUAGCGUAUAUUAAAGUUGUUGCAGUUAAAAAGCUCGUAGUUGAAUUUCGGGAUUAGUAGGUUGGUCGUGCCUCUGGUAUGUACUGGCUUUACUGGUUCCUCCUUCUUGAAGAACUGUAAUGUCAUUAAUUUGGUGUUGCAGGGAAACAGGACUGUUACUUUGAAAAAUUAGAGUGUUUAAAGCAGGCUAACGCUUGAAUACAUUAGCAUGGAAUAAUGAAAUAGGACGUUUGAUCCUAUUUUGUUGGUUUCUAGGAUUGACGUAAUGAUUAAUAGGGAUAGUUGGGG